UUUUGGUCUCCUUCACAUAUUUUCAUUGUUUUGUUGUAAAAGGUAAAUAUACAUUUGUUUAAAAUGUCUGCAAAGUGGGUGUAGUUAUAGAGGCAUAGCGUUGAAUGUGUUUUAUUUAUUUGAAACAUAAACUCACAAACUAGCUGGAGAAGGGGAGACGUUGUCAAGUGGAAGAGAGAGGAUUAAAUCAGGUUGCGACCAGCCAAGGCGUUCCCAUGUCAAGUUUAAUUGCUUUCAUGCCAUUGUGGUGAAUACAAAUGGGUAGCGCCCGUCGGUGCAUUUAAAUGUGAAGAUAUUUAGUUCAUUCCAUACACCAACUCGAGACAUUCAGUGAGUCAGCAUCCCUUGUGGCUCGAUUCUGGUGCACACUGCUCUCCGUCAACACAAGGAAAGGAGCUGGACCCGGUGGCAUCCUAGGGUGGACACUGAAAGACUGCAUAUGAGCUGGCUGGGGUCCUGGCCAGGAUUUUGAACCAUUCCCUGUGCCAAUCCACCGUUCCAUCCUGCCUCAAAUCAUCCAUCAUAAUCCCCCUCCCCAAAAAACAGCCCACCGACUGCCUGAAUAAUUACAGACCGAUAGCUUUGAAUGCCGUGUUUAUGAAGUUCUCACAUCAUGGAGGACAUCAUGACUUUCAUCCCCUGCCUCGUUUGAUACAUACCAGUUUGCCUACAGAGCUAACUGGUCUACAGAGGACGCUAUAAACACUACCCUUUAUACUGUCCUGUCCCACCUCGAACACCGGGGAAUCUAUGAACAGAUCGUCUUUGUAGACUUCAGCUCUGCCUUUAAUACCAUCCUCCACCACAGACUGGUAAUAAGAUGUUGCAUAUUGGAAUACCACACUCUACUUGCCUUUGGAUUAAGAACCUUCUGACACAAUGCACCCAGAAACUGAGAGUGGGACCCCACCUCUCCACAGCCAUCAGCCUCAGCACCGGCUCACCACAGGGCUGAGUCCUGAGCCCCCUCCUGUGCACUGUCUACAACUAUGACUGCACCCCCACUCACCACAACAUUUCCAUUGUCAAGUUUGUGAACGAAACCACAGCGGUGGUGCUCAAAUCAGGGGCCAAUGAGUCAGCCUAUAGAGAGGAGGUAGAGUGACUACUUGCAUGGUGCCGUGAAAACAACAAGCUCCUGAACACCAGCAAGACUAAGGAGCUGGUUGUGAACUUUAGGAGAAACAAGCAUAACAUCCAGCAUUUUAAUAUCGAUGGGGUUUGUAUGGAGAGGGUCUCGCGCUUCCGCUUCCUGGGAGUUAACAUCAGCGAGGACCCGACCUGGGGUCUGCAUACUGCAGAGCUGGUGAAGAAGGGCCAGAAGAGACUCUACUUCUGAGAGUCCUCAGCAAUAACAUCUCACAGACUUCUGGUGUCCUUCUACCGCAGGACUUCAAGGGUGUCCUGAGUUCCUGCCUCUGUGCAUGGUUUUCCAAUUGUACAAUACAGGGGAAAGCGCUAAAGAGAGUUAUAGUCAGUGCCCAGUGCAUUGUCGGAUAACCUCUCCUUCCACUGGAGGAGCUGCACACCUCCCACUGCCGCAAGAGUGCUGCUAGGAUCCCCCUGGAUCCCUUCCACCCUGGACAUGAACUAUGCCCACAGGCAGACGUUUCAGAUGCAUUAAAACGUAAACGAGCAGACUUUUGAAAUAAAAAAAAGCUUCUCCCCAUC